rnacentral:ncRNA from 1 species
CUAUGCCUGGGCAGGGUGAAGCCAGAGGAAACUCUGGUGGAGGUCUGUAGCAGUCCUGACGUGCAAAUAGGUUGUCCGACCUGGGUCUAG